GACGAACGCUGGCGGCGUGCUUAACACAUGCAAGUCGAACGAAGUGGCGAACGGGUGAGAAAUACGUGGGUAACCUGCCCUCCUAGAUGGGAUUAGCUACGGAAACGGGGUCUAAUACCGAAUAAAGGGGGAUGGGAUCUCGGCUUAUCUGCUUGUUGGGGGGGUGACGGCCUUCCAAGGCGGUGACGGGUUGCCGGCCUGAGAGGCUGACCGGAGACAUGGGCACGGCGAUACGGCCCAGACUACUACGCGGUGGAGCAUUGGGGGAUAUGGCACAAUGGGCGAGAGCCUGAUGCAGCGACGCUGCGUGGGGGAUGAGGGCUUUCGAGUUGUAAACCUUGUGCGCUAUCGAACGGGUAGGUGGAGAAGAAGCGCCGGCUAACUACGUGCCAGCAGCCGCGGUAAUUC
rnacentral:rRNA from 1 species